GUCCACGCUGUAAACGAUGUGUGCUAGACGUUGGGGAGCCUAGCUCUUCGGUGUCGCAGCUAACGCUUUAAGCACACCGCCUGGGGAGUACGGCCGCAAGGUUAAAACUCAAAGGAAUUGACGGGGGCCCGCACAAGCGGUGGAGCAUGUGGUUUAAUUCGACGCAACGCGAAGAACCUUACCAGCCCUUGACAUGUCCGGUAUGGGUGGGGGAGACCCCAUUCUUCAGUUCGGCUGGCCGGAACACAGGUGCUGCAUGGCUGUCGU
rnacentral:rRNA from 1 species